rnacentral:rRNA from 1 species
CCUACGGGAGGCAGCAGUGAGGAAUAUUGGUCAAUGGGCGCUAGCCUGAACCAGCCAAGUAGCGUGAAGGAUGACUGCCCUAUGGGUUGUAAACUUCUUUUAUAUGGGAAUAAAGUGCAGUAUGUAUACUGCUUUGCAUGUACCUUAUGAAUAAGGAUCGGCUAACUCCGUGCCAGCAGCCGCGGUAAUACGGAGGAUCCGAGCGUUAUCCGGAUUGAUUGGGUUUAAAGGGAGCGUAGGCGUGUUGUUUAGUAAGUUGUGAAAGUUUGCGGCUCAACCGUAAAAUUGCAGUUGAUACUGGCAUUCUUGAGUACAGUAGAGGUAGGCGGAAUUCGUGGUGUAGCGGUGAAAUGCUUAGAUAUCACGAAGAACUCCGAUGGCGAAGGCAUCCUUCUGGACUGUAACUGACGCUGAUGCUCGAAAGUGUGGGUAUCAAACAGGAUUAGAUACCCUUGUAGUC